UGAUACCACGCUUCCAGGAAAAGCCACUAAGCUUCAGCCAAGUCAGAACCGUACCGCAAACCGACACAGGUGGGUAGGAUGAGAAUUCUAAGGCGCUUGAGAGAACUCAGGAGAAGGAACUCGGCAAAUUGAUACCGUAACUUCGGGAGAAGGUAUGCCCUUUGAUGUGAAAGACUAGCUCUGUAAGCAUCGGAGGGUCGCAGAGAAUCGGUGGCUGCGACUGUUUAUUAAAAACACAGCACUCUGCUAACACGAAAGUGGACGUAUAGGGUGUGACGCCUGCCCGGUGCUGGAAGGUUAAUUGAAGAUGUGAGAGCAUUGGAUCGAAGCCCCAGUAAACGGCGGCCGUAACAAUAACGGUCCUAAGGUAGCGAAAUUCCUUGUCGGGUAAGUUCCGACCCGCACGAAUGGCGUAACGAUGGCCACACUGUCUCCUCCUGAGACUCAGCGAAGUUGAAAUGGUUGUGAAGAUGCAAUCUCCCCGCUGCUAGACGGAAAGACCCCGUGAACCUUUACUGUAGCUUUGCAUUGGACUUUGAAGUCACUUGUGUAGGAUAGGUGGGAGGCUUAGAAGCAGAGACGCUAGUUUCUGUGGAGCCGUCCUUGAAAUACCACCCUGGUGACUUUGAGGUUCUAACCCAGACCCGUAAUCCGGGUCGGGGACCGUGCAUGGUAGGCAGUUUGACUGGGGCGGUCUCCUCCCAAAGAGUAACGGAGGAGUUCGAAGGUUACCUAGGUCCGGUCGGAAAUCGGGCUGAUAGUGCAAUGGCAAAAGGUAGCUUAACUGCGAGACCGACAAGUCGAGCAGGUGCGAAAGCAGGACAUAGUGAUCCGGUGGUUCUGAAUGGAAGGGCCAUCGCUCAACGGAUAAAAGGUACUCCGGGGAUAACAGGCUGAUUCCGCCCAAGAGUUCAUAUCGACGGCGGAGUUUGGCACCUCGAUGUCGGCUCAUCACAUCCUGGGGCUGUAGUCGGUCCCAAGGGUAUGGCUGUUCGCCAUUUAAAGUGGUACGUGAGCUGGGUUUAAAACGUCGUGAGACAGUUUGGUCCCUAUCUGCAGUGGGCGUUGGAAGUUUGACGGGGGCUGCUCCUAGUACGAGAGGACCGGAGUGGACGAACCUCUGGUGUACCGAUUGUCACGCCAGUGGCAUAGCCGGGUAGCUAAGUUCGGAAGAGAUAAGCGCUGAAAGCAUCUAAGCGCGAAACUCGCCUGAAGAUGAGACUUCCCUGGUGGUUAAACCACCCUAAAGAGUCGUUCGAGACCAGGACGUUGAUAGGUCGGGUGUGGAAGCGCGGUAACGCGUGAAGCUAACCGAUACUAAUUGCUCGUGAGGCUUGACUG
rnacentral:rRNA from 1 species